rnacentral:rRNA from 1 species
AACGGAGGGGGCAAGCGUUAUUCACCUUGACUGGGCGUAAAGGGUACGUAGGUUGUUUUUUAUUUAUAAAAUAAGUAAUCCAAGCUUAACUUUUGAAGUUAUUUUUUAAACAUUAAAACUAGAGAUAAAAUGGAGUAAGUUACAUUUUAAAGUAGGGUGAAAUCCUCGGAUAGUAAAAAGAUAGCCUAAUAGCGAAAGCUACUUACUACUUUUAUUCUGACACUAAGGUACGAAAGCAUGGGGAUCGAACAGG